AAUACGGUUUCGUAGGUGACCUGCGGAAGG
rnacentral:rRNA from 1 species